AUUGAGCGCUGGCGGCAUGCCUUACACAUGCAAGUCGAACGGUAACAGGUCUUCGGAUGCUGACGAGUGGCGAACGGGUGAGUAAUACAUCGGAACGUGCCUAGUAGUGGGGGAUAACUACUCGAAAGAGUGGCUAAUGCCGCAUGAGAUCUACGGAUGAAAGCAGGGGAUCGCAAGACCUUGUGCUACUAGAGCGGCCGAUGGCAGAUUAGGUAGUUGGUGGGAUAAAAGCUUACCAAGCCGACGAUCUGUAGCUGGUCUGAGAGGACGAUCAGCCACACUGGGACUGAGACACGGCCCAGACUCCUACGGGAGGCAGCAGUGGGGAAUUUUGGACAAUGGGCGCAAGCCUGAUCCAGCAAUGCCGCGUGCAGGAUGAAGGCCUUCGGGUUGUAAACUGCUUUUGUACGGAACGAAAAGCCCUGGGUUAAUACCCUGGGGUCAUGACGGUACCGUAAGAAUAAGCACCGGCUAACUACGUGCCAGCCGCCGCGGUAAAAC
rnacentral:rRNA from 1 species